rnacentral:lncRNA from 1 species
UGGCCAAACAUUCUUCUCCCCUUCACUAACAAUCACAGCUUUAUUUUCAAUGCUUCUAUUCCGCAAACCAUUCCCUGCAUUUAAUCCAACAAAAUUCUGGUUAUUGGUUGUCAUCAAGACCCCAUAAGGCAGCACCUUUGAUCACAUUAAGCCUCUUUCACACUCAUUGAACAGAUUUGUUUUCUUCACUCAUCGCCUUUUGCUCCCAUUCAUUUCUUAAUUUAAAUUCCUUCUCUCCUUUGAAGCUAAUGUCGAUGUUUAU